rnacentral:rRNA from 1 species
UAGGGAGAGGUCUAGGUAAAUCCGGACCUCAUACAUCCUGAGACGCGAUGCCGAGCCGAUACAGGCGAAGUCACUAAUCCCAUGCUGCCGAGAAAAGCCUCUAGCGAGCUCACGUGGUGCCCGUACCCCAAACCAACACAGGUGGGCAGGUAGAGAAUACCAAGGCGAUCGGGAGAACUAUGGUUAAGGAACUCGGCAAAAUACAUCCGUAACUUCGGGAGAAGGAUGACCCCAUCAGGGUGACGGACUUCGCGUCCCGAGCUCGAAGGGGUGGCAGAUACUAGGGGAAAGCGACUGUUUACUAAAAACACAGCAGCGUGCUAAGCCGCAAGGCGAUGUAUACGCUGUGACGCCUGCCCGGUGCCGGAAGGUUACGGGGAAGGGUUAGCUCUUUGAGCGAAGCUCUGAACCUAAGCCCCGGUAAACGGCGGCCGUAACUAUAACGGUCCUUAGGUAGCGAAAUUCCUUGUCGGGUAAGUUCCGACCUGCACGAAUGGCGUAACGACUUUCCUACUGUCUCAACCAUAGGCCCGGCGAAAUUGAAGUACGAGUAAAGAUGCUCGUUAGCUGCAGAAGGACGGAAAGACCCCGUGGACCUUUACUACAGCCUGAUAUUGGGUUUUGGUAUAUGUUGUGUAGGAUAGGUGGGAGACUUGGAAGCGUCGGCGCCAGCCGGCGUGGAGUCACCCUUGAAAUACCACCCUGCAUAUGCCGGAACUCUAACCUAGACCCCUUAUAGGGGUUGGGGACAGUGGCAGGGUAGUUUGACUGGGGCGGUCGCCUCCUAAAGAGUAACGGAGGCGCCCAAAGGUUCCCUCAGGCUGGUUGGCAAUCAGCCGUCGAGUGCAAUGGCACAAGGGAGCUUGACUGCGAGACAUACACGUCGAGCAGGUGCGAAAGCAGGGCAUAGUGAUCCGGCGGUUGCGUGUGGAAGCGCCGUCGCUCAACGGAUAAAAGGUACCCCGGGGAUAACAGGCUCAUCUUCCCCAAGAGUCCAUAUCGACGGGAAGGUUUGGCACCUCGAUGUCGGCUCAUCGCAUCCUGGGGCCGUAGCAGGUCCCAAGGGUUGGGCUGUUCGCCCAUUAAAGCGGUACGCGAGCUGGGUUUAGAACGUCGUGAGACAGUUCGGUCCCUAUCCUCUGCAGCCGGAGGGAAUUUGAGGAAGGCUGUCCCUAGUACGAGAGGACCGGGACGGACGCAGCUCUCGUGUGCCAGUUGUCCUGCCAAGGGCACGGCUGGUUAGCGACCUGCGGAAGGGAUAAGCGCUGAAAGCAUCUAAGUGCGAAGCCCGUUCCUAGAUGAGAUUCCCCACUGGGUUAACCAGGUAAGGCCCGUGACCAGACGAUCACGUUGAUAGGCCGGAGGUGUAAGCACAGCAAUGUGUUCAGCCGACCGGUACUAAUCGGCCGAGGGCUUGGAUUC